rnacentral:lncRNA from 1 species
UCUUCCUUUAAGGACACAACUGGCUCCUGACAUGAGCACGAGUCAGAGGAUGAAAGAUCUCUGCUCUCCAGACAGAAGAGACUCAUCUUCUUUCUGCCUGAGCAAAGAUUCUCAUUUGCACUGAGGAAGUGUGGAACAGGCACUCAGCAAUAAUUUCUCCAAACAUCAGUUACCAGGGGUGUGUACAGGUGUGGGAGACCUGAGGGAGGCAGACUGGCUGUCAGAACUGGUGGUUUCUGUCAAAAUUGUUCCUGAGGACUUUUUGCAGGCCAGCAGAUUUCUGACAGAAUCAAACUGUUAACAGUUUGCCAGGGAU